GGAAGGACAUAGCCAAGAUGCCUCAGAAGCUUUCCAAGGGAGAAAUGGUUUAUAUGUGAGAAUUGGUUCUCUUUCAAAUAUGUAAUGCAGAAAUGCUGGCAUCAGCAAAUAGUGGGGUGAAACCUACCUGGUCUGUGAAGAACUUGGGGUCAAUGAGAGUACAAAAGAGGCUCUGACUGACCUGAAUGUCUUGAAGGUUCCAGUUAAUUCCUCACUAACAGGGCUUUAUUGAAUUGAUAACAACAGAAUGAGUUUUUCCUGAAAUGGAGAAGAUGGAGUCACAGUAGUAAUGACUACCCGGUGUGUAUGUAAAUCUCAUAUGUCCUUCUCAACAGCCCUUUGGGGAAGGCAGUUUUGAUCUCAAAUUACAGAGGAAGAGAAUGAGAGGCCCAGAAAGCCUAAGUGAUUUGUUGGUGGAUGCUCAGCUUAUGAGUGGCACUGAUAGGCUUAGAAACAUUGUCUCUGGCCCUUGAUGCCCAGCUUUGCACCUCUUCAAGAGGUCUGGGAGGAAGACCAAGAUAUGAAGAGUUAGUGAAAGGCCAGUACUGGCUUCCUAGUAACAUAAGAUGGUUAGCAAGCAAUGCUUAGUGGAAAGAGGAUGAAAAUUAAAAGUGAAAAUUCAAUGUAGCUGUAGCUACUAGGAAAU
rnacentral:lncRNA from 1 species